AGCUGCGGCAGCGAACGUAUCACCCAAGACAACUUUACGGAGUUGACGAUUGACGGAGCGAAGCGACGUCAAAGCGUUCAUUAAAGUCGAGUUGGCUUAGGGAUACGUUCGUUGGGUAGGGGAGCGUUCUGUAAGCCUGUGAAGGUGUGUCGUGAGGCAUGCUGGAGGUAUCAGAAGUGCGAAUGCUGACAUAAGUAACGAUAAAGCGGGUGAAAAGCCCGCUCGCCGGAAGACCAAGGGUUCCUGUCCAACGUUAAUCGGGGCAGGGUGAGUCGACCCCUAAGGCGAGGCCGAAAGGCGUAGUCGAUGGGAAACGGGUUAAUAUUCCCGUACUUGGUGUUACUGCGAAGGGGGGACGGAGAAGGCUAUGUUGGCCGGGCGACGGUUGUCCCGGUUUAAGCGUGUAGGUGUGUGUUCCAGGUAAAUCCGGUUCACUUUAACACUGAGGCGUGACGACGAGGCACUACGGUGCUGAAGCAACAAAUGCCCUGCUUCCAGGAAAAGCCUCUAAGCAUCAGGUAACAUCAAAUCGUACCCCAAACCGACACAGGUGGUCAGGUAGAGAAUACCAAGGCGCUUGAGAGAACUCGGGUGAAGGAACUAGGCAAAAUGGUGCCGUAACUUCGGGAGAAGGCACGCUGACACGUAGGUGAAGUGAUUUACUCAUGGAGCUGAAGUCAGUCGAAGAUACCAGCUGGCUGCAACUGUUUAUUAAAAACACAGCACUGUGCAAACACGAAAGUGGACGUAUACGGUGUGACGCCUGCCCGGUGCCGGAAGGUUAAUUGAUGGGGUCAGCGCAAGCGAAGCUCCUGAUCGAAGCCCCGGUAAACGGCGGCCGUAACUAUAACGGUCCUAAGGUAGCGAAAUUCCUUGUCGGGUAAGUUCCGACCUGCACGAAUGGCGUAAUGAUGGCCAGGCUGUCUCCACCCGAGACUCAGUGAAAUUGAACUCGCUGUGAAGAUGCAGUGUACCCGCGGCAAGACGGAAAGACCCCGUGAACCUUUACUAUAGCUUGACACUGAACAUUGAGCCUUGAUGUGUAGGAUAGGUGGGAGGCUUUGAAGUGUGGACGCCAGUCUGCAUGGAGCCGACCUUGAAAUACCACCCUUUAAUGUUUGAUGUUCUAACGUGGACCCGUAAUCCGGGUUGCGGACAGUGUCUGGUGGGUAGUUUGACUGGGGCGGUCUCCUCCUAAAGAGUAACGGAGGAGCACGAAGGUUGGCUAAUCCUGGUCGGACAUCAGGAGGUUAGUGCAAUGGCAUAAGCCAGCUUGACUGCGAGCGUGACGGCGCGAGCAGGUGCGAAAGCAGGUCAUAGUGAUCCGGUGGUUCUGAAUGGAAGGGCCAUCGCUCAACGGAUAAAAGGUACUCCGGGGAUAACAGGCUGAUACCGCCCAAGAGUUCAUAUCGACGGCGGUGUUUGGCACCUCGAUGUCGGCUCAUCACAUCCUGGGGCUGAAGUAGGUCCCAAGGGUAUGGCUGUUCGCCAUUUAAAGUGGUACGCGAGCUGGGUUUAGAACGUCGUGAGACAGUUCGGUCCCUAUCUGCCGUGGGCGCUGGAGAACUGAGGGGGGCUGCUCCUAGUACGAGAGGACCGGAGUGGACGCAUCACUGGUGUUCGGGUUGUCAUGCCAAUGGCACUGCCCGGUAGCUAAAUGCGGAAGAGAUAAGUGCUGAAAGCAUCUAAGCACGAAACUUGCCCCGAGAUGAGUUCUC
rnacentral:rRNA from 1 species